rnacentral:rRNA from 1 species
CACGUGGGUAACCUGCCGUUAAGUUGGGAAUAACAUUUGGAAACAGGUGCUAAUACCGAAUAAAAGUAUAAGUGGCAUCACAUAUAUUUAAAAGGACCUAAGGGUUCGCUUAGCGAGGGGCCUGCGUUGCAUUAGUUAGUUGGUAGGGUAAAGGCCUACCAAGACGAUGAUGCGUAGCUGGACUGAGAGGUUGACCAGCCACAUUGGGACUGAGAACGGCCCAAACUCCUACGGGAGGCAGCAGUAGAGAAUCUUCGGCAAUGGGGGGAACCCUGACCGAGCAAUACCGCGUGAAUGAUGAAAUACUUUUAGUAUGUAAAGUUCUUUUAUUUAGGAGAAACGGUACUAGUAGGGAAUGACUAGUAAGUGAUAGUACUGAAUGAAUAAGCCCCGGCUAACUAUGUGCCAGCAGCCGCGGUAAUACAUAGGGGGCGAGCGUUAUCCGGAAUUAUUGGGUGUAAAGGGUGCGUAGGCGGUCGAUUAAGUUUUAGGUUUAAAUGCAAAGCUCAACUUUGUAUUGCUUAAAAAACUGGUCUGGCUAGAGAUAGGUAGAGGCAAGUGGAAUUUCAUGUGUAGUGGUAAAAUGCAUAAAUAUAUGAAGGAACACCAGUAGCGAAGGCGGCUUGCUGGGCCUAAUCUGACGUUAAAGCACGAAAGCGUGGGGAGCAAACAGGAUUAGAUACCCUGGUAGUCCACGCCAUAAACGAUGAAUGCUAGGUGUUUGGGGAAAACCUAAGUGCCGCAGUUAACGCAUUAAGCAUUCCACCUGAGUAUUACGUGCGCAAGCAUAAAACUCAAAGGAAUUGGCGGGACCUCGCACAAGCGGUGGAUCAUGUUGUUUAAUUCGUGGAUACGCGAUAGACCUUACCAGGUUUUGACAUCUAGGGCAAAUGGUAUUGAAAGAUAUCAGGAGGUUACCCCUAAGACAGGUGGUGCAUGGUUGUCGUCAGCUCGUGUCGUGAGAUGUAUGGUUAAGUCCAAUAACGAGCGCAACUCUUAUCGUUAGUUACCAAUAUUAAGUUAGGGACUUUAGCGAGACUGCCAGUGACAAACUGGAGGAAGGUGAGAAUGACGUCAAAUCAUCAUGCCCCUUAUAACCUGGGCUACAAACGUGAUACAAUGGUUGAUACAAAGGGAUGCGAAGUAGUAAUAUGGAGCGAAACCUAAAAAGACAAUCUCAGUUCGGAUUGAGGUCUGCAACUCGACCUCAUGAAGCCGAAAUCGCUAGUAAUCGUAGAUCAGAACGCUAC